rnacentral:rRNA from 1 species
AACGAACGCUGGCGGCAUGCCUAACACAUGCAAGUCGAACGAGACCUUCGGGUCUAGUGGCGCACGGGUGCGUAACGCGUGGGAAUCUGCCCUUGGGUUCGGAAUAACAGUUAGAAAUGACUGCUAAUACCGGAUAAUGUCUUCGGACCAAAGAUUUAUCGCCCAGGGAUGAGCCCGCGUAGGAUUAGCUAGUUGGUGAGGUAAAGGCUCACCAAGGCGACGAUCCUUAGCUGGUCUGAGAGGAUGAUCAGCCACACUGGGACUGAGACACGGCCCAGACUCCUACGGGAGGCAGCAGUGGGGAAUAUUGGACAAUGGGCGAAAGCCUGAUCCAGCAAUGCCGCGUGAGUGAUGAAGGUCUUAGGGUUGUAAAGCUCUUUUACCCGGGAUGAUAAUGACAGUACCGGGAGAAUAAGCCCCGGCUAACUCCGUGCCAGCAGCCGCGGUAAU